rnacentral:rRNA from 1 species
GACGAACGCUGGCGGCGUGCUUAACACAUGCAAGUCGAACGAAGCUUGAUUACGGAUUCUUCGGAUGAAGUAUGAUAUGACUGAGUGGCGGACGGGUGAGUAACGCGUGAGUAACCUGCCCUUCAGAGGGGGAUAGCGUUUGGAAACGAACGGUAAUACCGCAUAAUGUAUUUUGACCGCAUGAUCGAAAUCCCAAAGAUUUAUCGCUGAAGGAUGGACUCGCGUCUGAUUAGGUAGUUGGUGGGGUAACGGCCUGCCAAGCCGACGAUCAGUAGCCGGACUGAGAGGUUGAUCGGCCACAUUGGGACUGAGACACGGCCCAGACUCCUACGGGAGGCAGCAGUGGGGAAUAUUGCACAAUGGGCGCAAGCCUGAUGCAGCAACGCCGCGUGAAGGAAGACGGUUUUCGGAUUGUAAACUUCUGUUCUUAGUGAAGAAUAAUGACGGUAGCUAAGGAGCAAGCCACGGCUAACUACGUG